CAGCCUUGCAGCCGCGGCGGCCGCAGCAACUGCAACAGGCGGCGGGCUCGGCUUGGGGGCGGGGGCGAAGGGGCGGGGAGCGCGAGGAGGAGCGACGCGGCCCCACUGCCGCCGCCGUUGCCGCCGCGGCCGCUUCCCCGCCGCAUGGACGAGCAUCUCAGCCUCCUGCGCUCGCCGCCGCCGCCCUCCGCCCGCCACCGCGCCCACCCUCCGCAGCAUCCCGCGGGCGGCCGCGGCGCCCACACCCUGGUGAACCCCGGCUACGCCGAGCCCGCCGCCGGCCGCGAGCUGCCUCCCGACAUGACCGUGGUGCCCGGGGACCACCUGCUGGAGCCGGAGGCGGCCGACGGCGGCGGGGGCACGCCACAGGGCGGCGGUGGCGGCGGCGGCGGCUGCGACCGCUACGAGCCGCUGCCGCCCGCUCUGCCCGCCGCGGGCGAGCAGGACUGCUGCGGGGAGCGCGUGGUGAUCAACAUCUCGGGGCUGCGCUUCGAGACGCAGCUCAAGACCCUCUGCCAGUUCCCGGAGACGCUGCUGGGCGACCCCAAGCGGCGCAUGAGGUACUUCGACCCGCUCCGCAACGAGUACUUCUUCGACCGCAACCGGCCCAGCUUCGACGCCAUCCUCUAUUAUUAUCAGUCCGGGGGCCGCAUCCGCCGGCCGGUCAACGUGCCCAUCGACAUCUUCUCCGAGGAGAUCCGCUUCUACCAGCUGGGCGAGGAGGCUAUGGAGAAGUUCCGCGAGGACGAGGGCUUCCUGCGGGAGGAGGAGCGGCCCCUGCCCCGCCGCGACUUCCAGCGCCAGGUGUGGCUGCUCUUCGAGUACCCGGAGAGCUCCGGGCCGGCCCGGGGCAUCGCCAUCGUGUCCGUGCUCGUCAUCCUCAUCUCCAUUGUCAUCUUCUGCCUGGAGACGCUGCCCGAGUUCCGCGAUGAGAAGGACUACCCCGCCUCGCCGUCUCAGGAUGUGUUCGAGACCUCGGCCGGCAACAGCACGUCGGGGGCCCCCGCGGGAGCCUCCAGCUUCUCGGAUCCCUUCUUCGUGGUGGAGACCCUGUGCAUCAUCUGGUUCUCCUUUGAACUGCUGGUGCGGUUCUUCGCUUGCCCCAGCAAAGCCACCUUUUCUCGAAAUAUCAUGAACCUGAUAGACAUCGUGGCCAUCAUCCCUUAUUUCAUCACUCUGGGCACCGAGCUGGCUGAGCGACAGGGCAAUGGACAGCAGGCCAUGUCCCUGGCCAUCCUGAGGGUCAUCCGCCUGGUGAGGGUCUUCCGCAUCUUCAAGCUCUCCCGCCAUUCCAAGGGGCUGCAGAUCCUGGGGCAGACGCUGAAGGCUUCCAUGAGGGAGUUAGGGUUGCUUAUCUUUUUCCUCUUCAUUGGGGUCAUCCUCUUCUCCAGCGCGGUCUACUUUGCCGAGGCAGACGACCCCACUUCGGGUUUCAGCAGUAUCCCUGACGCCUUCUGGUGGGCAGUGGUAACCAUGACAACAGUAGGUUACGGUGAUAUGCACCCAGUGACCAUAGGGGGCAAGAUUGUGGGCUCGCUCUGUGCCAUCGCUGGCGUCUUGACCAUUGCUUUGCCAGUCCCUGUGAUUGUUUCCAACUUCAAUUACUUCUACCACCGGGAGACAGAAGGUGAAGAGCAAGCCCAAUACAUGCACGUGGGAAGUUGCCAGCACCUCUCUCCUUCAGCCGAGGAGCUCCGAAAAGCAAGGAGUAACUCGACUCUGAGUAAGUCGGAGUAUAUGGUAAUUGAAGAGGGGGGUAUGAACCAUAGCGCCUUCCUCCAGACCUCUUUCAAAACGGGCAAUUCCACUGCCACUUGCGCCACAAAUAAUAAUCCCAACUCUUGUGUCAACAUCAAAAAGAUAUUCACCGAUGUUUAAUGUGUGCCUCAAGUGACAUACUGUGCCCAGCAUUGUGUGGAACGUGCCCCCUUGAUCUGUGUAUGCCCUUGUUUUAUACAUUUUCAGACCAUUCAUCAAAGAAAGAAAAUGAAGACGUGGAAAGCACACUUCAUUCGCCCUCUCCCUACUGCUUCAUAAUGAAACAGGUGUCUCUUUUGCAAGUGGGCUGCAUUCUCUCAGCUCUCAUCUUUUUUUUACCUCUCUCUCACUAUUGAGACCAACAAACUUACUUUAAACUUGAUUUCUAGUACACACCCUGUAAAAAAAAAGAAAAAGGAAAAAAAAAAGUACAUCCUGGGGGGAAAUGAAACUCAACAGCAAGCAGAGUAACAGUUUAACCUCAAAAUUAAAAGGCAGGUUUUUUUCCUUGCUAAGUAGAGCAGGCAGAUACCUAAAUGAUGCCUCUGCAGUCUACAUUAUUUAUGGACAUUUUAGUUCAGUUACCUACCCUGUGAAUAUGUGGAUGAAAAGUCUAAUUAGAAAAAAUGACUUGAAAACCCACCAUAAAUUUAUUUGGUUUUUGACUGGAAUUUCUAUUUGAAACUCCCACCCCUGGAAUUUUAAGUGUCUCUGCAACUUUGAACAAAGGGAAAUGCCCAAGCUGUUCUAAUCUGACUAAUUACUUUAACCCUUUGGGGCUGGAUACACAUUUCUAAACUAUUAGACAAACAGUUAAUUCUUCUGUGAAGUUCUGUGCAUGUAUCCCAGCCAGCAUCUAUCAGAAUCUAGAAACAGAUGUUUUCUGUGCUGCUGAAAGAGACAAAACAUUUCCUACUGCUUCUGAGAGAGAAGCUUCUGCAGUAUCACAAGAAGAUUAAAGUGGCAGACACCCCUUCCAGCGGAAGUUUCUAAUUCGGACCUGACUGAUGCAGUUCCCAUAGCAACUCAUGUUUCCUGGGAAACCCGAAAAAGGUUGUCAUGGCAUCUCCUGCUCUGUAGCCCCCCACCCCACCCCCAUCCCCUGCCGUUUCCACAGUAACCUUUCCAGAUGGUUCCUACUUACAUGAUUUCAUAAGGAAAACCACUGUUUGAAUAAACCGCACAAAGUUAAGCCUAAGAAUCCAAGGAGGUAAAAUGAAUCGCGAAAUACUUUUAUUUAACUUCAAAAAAAUUCAUUGAUGUCAUCUCAUAAUGACUGAAUCAAGAAGGAAACGAAGGUCUAGGGAAUGUUUGCUAUAAACCACAAUAAGGCAUGAUUUCAAUUAAAUGCCAGUUAUUAGGCAAUAAUUUAAAAAUAAUCUUAUCUUCAGUUUUUUCCUCCAAGAAGUUUCAAGUCAACAGAUGAAAUUAAAAAGCAGUUUUAGAAGUGUUCUGUAUGUAAGCAAAUGGCAGAUUUAAUCAAUGCACCUGAAACCUUACUACAUGGGACCUUCAGACUUCCUCUAUUUAAUAAUAAUCAAGAUCCACAACAGCACUGCCAGAAUCAAGGCUUGAAAAGCUAAAUAAACUUCAAAAAUAUAAAGGAUGCAAGUUUCAAACUAAGGGAAUUGCAGACAAUCAAUUAAAAGGAGGGACAGGAAGUAACCAAACCUUGGGGGAAUACUGGAAGUUUCAGCCGUAUGCCCAGGGGUUGCUGGGAGACACACUUAAUCAGCAGUUCCAAGUCCUUCCCACCUCUCGGCUGUGAAUAGGAGUGAUAACUCCUCUCUUAAGAAAUGCAAAGCAGCACAUGUACUCCCCAAUCUGAAGACUUAUGGGAACAUUGUGAGAUAGAGAUAUCUGAAGAGCCCCACAUAAAGAACUCUAGAGCUGCAAUGACCAGUAAGAUGCUCAUUUUUAAAUUUCCUAGAUAAAAAUGCAGUGGCAGUUACAUCACUGAUGGAUGGUGAUCUGUCUACCAGUACAUAUUUUUGUUUCAGUUGACAUUAAAUAAUGUCUCUAACAAAUGCUUUAUAUAAAGGAAAGAGCACUGAAGCUGGAGGAUUCUCUUCAAAUUGUGUGCAGUAGGCAAGAUACUGAUCAAGAUAUAAAGAAGGCAUUAAAAAUUUUAAGGUAUCAUUUCAACCUUCUGAUAUUCUGAUGAAGUCUAAUAAUCGAAAAACUAUAGUCAGUGCUGCUGAUAAAGAAAGCGUAAAUGUUUCCAACAAGCCAACUAUUCCUGUAUUCUUUUUUCAAUUAAUUUCUAAACUGUGUUUAAUCAUGAGAAAUAUUAGUGAUGUAUUCUAUGUUCUGGGUUCUUAAUUUGUGAAGCUGUGUUUUGUACCAAAGGCUCUAGUACAUAGAUUAGCCCAUUUACACAAAAAUAAGUAACGUCUACACUGUGCCCAGAUGAAUGGUAUUAAAGACAGGCUUGCCUAGAAGAAAUGUGCCUUGCUUGAAUAAACACUCUUUUUUAAAAAAAUUUGAAAUGAAGGAUUUGAAAAUUAGUCUUGUAAGUAGGUUUAAGCUGAGCUGAACUUUACAAAAAUACAUUAGUGCUUAUAUAUGCUUAUGUUAUCAUUACUAAAAUUUUCGUAUUUAAUUAUACUUUUCACCUGUUCAUAUCUAAUAAACUCAUUCAACUUAAUCUUCACAGGAUGUUUCAUGUGGUGAUACAAAGCACAUUCUCAAAGAUAUAUGUUAUAUUUCAUCUAAUGUUUAUAGCAUUUCCUUCAAAAUUCUAUCUGUAAAAGGGUUCUUGUCUCAUGUGCUCUUUUUAUAUUCUUUUAGAAAUGAAACUCUCUUUCAAUUAAAAAAAGCAAAGUUUUAAGUUGGAAAAGAGGUUUGGAAGGUCAUACAUAUGAUUUCCCAUUUGGGGGCAUUUCACUUCUGUGCCAUUAUUAAUGUAUUUACUGUGACAUUUCAGCAGAAUGGUAGCUAUUUGUAUAUCAUUUAAUAAGCCUUAUGGAAAGUCAAACUGUGAACAUUGGUAUGAAGAAGCCUUUUUUUUCAUUGUCAUAGUUUAUUUUCAAAGUAUGUCUGAACAAAUACAUAAAUAACCAAUCUCCUGUUUUUAAAAUGCAUAACAAUGCUAAUUUACAAUAAGAGCACCUGUGGAAUUUCAACUGCUAUAGAAAUAUUUGGAUAGCAAAGCCAAGAUUAUAAUACUCAUUGCCCUAUAGAAGGAAUUAAAGGUAAUGAAUUUCAUUGUUAAAAAAUAUGUGUAUUUUUUGUUGCUGUUAAUUUUAAAACCAAUGCCAAUGUUUUUUAUAGAUUCUGGGGGGAGAUAUCUGUUAUCUUAAGUGGAAAUUCUCAGACCUGGGCAGUUAAAAAAAAUGAAUUAGUAACUGAAACAAUCCUAUAACCCUGAGCAGCCCAAAGGGUGGGAAGGAGUCACAGUCCAGGUAACUGUCUUUGAGGCAACUUCUACAAAGAAUUUUGCAAAAACUGCAAAAUAAUUUCUUUGUGGUCAAAACUCUGAGAACAGUUCGCUAUAGGAAAAAGUGAAGUAAAAGAGGGACAGUUAUCUCAAAUUUGAACUACAUGACCCUCUAAUCAAGAUGAUUUGUAUUCUAUGUUAGCUCAUGUAGUAGAGUCUGGCCCAGAGAGCAGUGUCCAUUCCAGCCAACUUCAUACAGUAGCUGAUGAUCUCAGCCUGGUGAGAAGCAAAAUGAUUCACAUCAGCUGUUGGGAUGAUUGAAACAAACUGAUCAGCAGCGCCACAGGAGGUCUUAGACAACUACUAGUUAGUAAGGAUAAGUAGGCGUUGCAAAAAUAGACACAAGAACUACCUUCAUAACAAUGACACAGCUUUAAAUAUUGUACUGUAUUUAAUAUCACAUCUGCAUCAUUAUCACCAGCUACAGUUUCAAAUAAAGGCAAAACCUGGACUUUUGAGAUAAGUAAAAGCAUCGGAGGUACCAGAUGAAUAACCUGUCAUAAAAAGAUGGUUCACAGAAUGAGUGGGAUAAAUAGUACUGGCCUAGAUAUCAGGAAACCAGAAUUCUUACUUACGUUCUACCUGGG